GAAUAGAAAUUAUUAUUAAAUUUAUUUAUUUAUUUAUUAUUAAAAAAAAUAGUUAUUAUUUUAUUAUUUAUAAAGAAAAAAUAUAAUUAAUUAUAGGUUAUUAGUAUUGUGAAAGAAUAAAUUUAUAUAUUUAAAAGAAAAAUUAAAUUUUUGUACCUUGUGUAUCAGGGUUAAUUAAAUAAAAAUUUUUUAUAGAAUUUUCUCGAAUUUAAAAGAGUUAAUUAUUUAUAUAUUUAAUUGUGAAAUAAAUUUUUAUAAUAAAUAAUUAGUAAUGAAACGUUAUUCGUUUUUAAAUAUAUCUAGUUUUUAAAGAAAAAAAUUUAAUUUUAUUAUUAAUAGUUAAAAUUUUAUAUUUUUAAUAUUUUAUUAUUAAUAUUUUAUCUUAAUAGGGAUAAGCUUAUUAAGAAAAUAAUUAUAAUUAAAUUAUAUAUAUAAAUAAUUUAUAGAAUUAAAAUUUUUUAUUGAUAAGAAAAUGUUAUAAUUAAUUAUUUAAAGUUUAUAUUUAUAUUUAAUUUAAAUUUUAUAUUUAAAUUUAUAUUUUAAUUUUAAAAAUUUAGUAAUUAUGAUUAAAUUAGUAUAAUAAUAUUGUAAUAUUAAAUUUUUUAUUUAGGUUAAUUUAAGGAAUUCGGCAAAUUUAUUUUUCACCUGUUUAUUAAAAACAUGUCUUUUUGAUUAUAAUUUAAAGUCUAAUCUGCCCACUGAGUUAUUGAAUGGCCGCGGUAUUUUGACCGUGCAAAGGUAGCAUAAUAAUUAGUUUUUUAAUUGGAAGCUGGUAUGAAUGAUUGAAUGAGAAAAUAACUGUCUCAAAUUAAUUUAUAUAGAAUUUUAUUUUUAAGUAAAAAAGCUUAAAUAAAGUUAGAAGACGAGAAGACCCUAUAGAGUUUAAUAAAUUUUAUUAAUUUAGGUUAAUAGUUUUAAAUACUUAAAUUUUUUAAGUUUAUUUUAUU
rnacentral:rRNA from 1 species